CGCAAAGCAGGUGAUGGAUCCCACCUGAGCGACAGCGCCCAAACCGCCCUACCGGCUGAUGGUUCCUACCGAAAC
rnacentral:ncRNA from 2 species